UGUUUCGGCUAGGGGGCCAUCCCGGCUUACCAACCCGAUGCAAACUGCGAAUACCGGAGAAUGUUAUCACGGGAGACACACGGCGGGUGCUAACGUCCGUCGUGAAGAGGGAAACAACCCAGACCGCCAGCUAAGGUCCCAAAGUCAUGGUUAAGUGGGAAACGAUGUGGGAAGGCCCAGACAGCCAGGAUGUUGGCUUAGAAGCAGCCAUCAUUUAAAGAAAGCGUAAUAGCUCACUGGUCGAGUCGGCCUGCGCGGAAGAUGUAACGGGGCUAAACCAUGCACCGAAGCUGCGGCAGCGACGUUUAUGCGUUGUUGGGUAGGGGAGCGUUCUGUAAGCCUGCGAAGGUGGCCUGUGAGGGUUGCUGGAGGUAUCAGAAGUGCGAAUGCUGACAUAAGUAACGAUAAAGCGGGUGAAAAGCCCGCUCGCCGGAAGACCAAGGGUUCCUGUCCAACGUUAAUCGGGGCAGGGUGAGUCGACCCCUAAGGCGAGGCCGAAAGGCGUAGUCGAUGGGAAACGGGUUAAUAUUCCCGUACUUGGUGUUACUGCGAAGGGGGGACGGAGAAGGCUAUGUUGGCCGGGCGACGGUUGUCCCGGUUUAAGCGUGUAGGCUGGUUUUCCAGGCAAAUCCGGAAAAUCAAGGCUGAGGCGUGACGACGAGGCACUACGGUGCUGAAGCAACAAAUGCCCUGCUUCCAGGAAAAGCCUCUAAGCAUCAGGUAACAUCAAAUCGUACCCCAAACCGACACAGGUGGUCAGGUAGAGAAUACCAAGGCGCUUGAGAGAACUCGGGUGAAGGAACUAGGCAAAAUGGUGCCGUAACUUCGGGAGAAGGCACGCUGACAC
rnacentral:rRNA from 1 species